rnacentral:rRNA from 1 species
GUCUAUGGCCAUACCACCCUGAACACACCCGAACUUAUCUGAUCUUGGAAGCUCGACAGGGUCAGGCCUGAUUAAUACUUGGACGGGAAAUGAAUGUACUUGAGUUGGAGGGAAGAAGGGGUAUGGUUG